AACGCUGGCGGCGUGCCUAAUACAUGCAAGUCGAACGGUCUUUCUAUGGAAGCUUGCUUCACUGAGAAGAUAGUGGCGAACGGGUGAGUAACACGUGGGUAACCUGCCCAUAAGAGGGGGAUAACAUCCGGAAACGGGUGCUAAUACCGCAUAGUUUUCUUGAUCGCAUGAUCGGGAAAGGAAAGACGGCCUUUGUGCUGUCGCUUAUGGAUGGACCCGCGGCGUAUUAGUUAGUUGGUGAGGUAACGGCUCACCAAGACGAUGAUACGUAGCCGACCUGAGAGGGUGAUCGGCCACAUUGGGACUGAGACACGGCCCAAACUCCUACGGGAGGCAGCAGUAGGGAAUCUUCCGCAAUGGACGAAAGUCUGACGGAGCAACGCCGCGUGAGUGAAGAAAGGUUUUCGGAUCGUAAAACUCUGUUGUCAGAGAAGAACAAGUUGGAGAGUAACUGCUCCAGCCUUGACGGUAUCUGACCAGAAAGCCACGGCUAACUACGUGCCAGCAGCCGC
rnacentral:rRNA from 1 species